GUUCCAAUUGUACAUAUCGCGAGUCCGUGCUCGCGUUCUCGGCGGGUACGUACUCACGUGCGUUCUCACGUGCGUUCUCGGCGAGUACGUACUCGCGUACUUGGGCAUUGAUAAACGGCCUAUGAGUCUUGAAACUAAGGAAGUCAAACGAUGUGCAUUUUAUUUUAUGCAUAACUUCAAUAAACACUUAAAUCAAAAAAAGAAGAAAAAAAAACAAUAGGAUUAAAUAACUGUUACGUCUGGUGACAAUAGCAACAAUGUGUAGUAAUAAGCAGCAAUCAGCUGACAGCCGUGCAGCUCAAACUGUGCACACCUGAUGAGCAUCAGGCAGCACCCACGCAGGUCGUGUUUCUGCCUGAGAGGAGGACGAUCGUUUGUGCCAUCAGGGAGAACUCUGCUGAUAAUCUGCUGUGAGGUCCUGAGCCUCAGGUGGAGACUGGGAUUUAUCCAGAGCUGAGUGAUUACACUGAACUCUGAGGCACAGCUGACUGCACGUGAACACGGUUUACUGCCAGAGCGAGCUCAUGGCGUGUUGGUGCUGUAUGGUUACACGACGUUCAUAACUCUGGGUUUUUUCUUUCCCCAGCAUGUGACAGCCUGACAGGCCCACAGUUAAGGAUCCAGCCACAAUCUCACUGAUCUGCGCCUGGAUGGAGCUGACACCCACGCCUAUAAAACAGCAGGUGGUGGUGGUGUGAGGCGGGCUGAGCAGGUGUGCUCAGGAGGAGGAGCUGCGUUUAUCAGGUUCAUCUUCAUUCCAUGAAGAUGAGGAGCGAGAAACUCUGACUGACAGUCUGAUCCGGGACACAAACUCCUCUAAACAGAAAAUCCAAAGACCAACGGAGGAAAGCCUUGAAAGCAUUCAGACUCCUUGCUGUGCUUUCCCUGUUGUCCUUCAUUGAGGCCGACCAGAGACCAGCCACAGCAAACCCACCUGAAUGUACAGAAUUCAGGAAGCAACACACCUGAGACACAGAACAGCCACAGGCCUCUGGUCUUCUACGGGUCGAGCAGUCGAUGUUCCUGACCUUUAAUGGCAGAUUCAUGUUGGGGAGUUCAGGUUUAAUGAUAUUUUAAUGUAACUUUAAUCCAAACACAGUGAACUGAGAGUCACGUAGGAGAGCGACCCACAGAGUCGUCGUUGACAGAGCGCCUGCAGCCUCGAGGCGAGGCAGCUUUUCUUAUCAGGAAUGGUGGCACUUAUGUUUAACUGAUCUGCAGCCUCUAUCAGCGUCAUGCAAACUGAUGGACACGCUCAAUAAACACACGUGCUGGCCCGAAAGCAGAGUCAGUGAAUAAACCCUGAGCUGCAGCUUCAUCCUCGGCCUCCUGCUAGGAUCAAAUCUGAGCCUUCACCUGGAGUCAGUAUCUCAAUUCACCAUGGCAACGGGCUAAUACAGAGCAGAGCAUCCAUUUUAACUCAGUGGAGCCAAGAAGUGACCGACUUCAGCAUUUCUGUCAUAGAUGAAGCUGCUUCUUUGAUCUUGACCUUUAAAUCCAGCUCUCAGCUGUGGCUAGGGGCUCUGAGGCGAAGCGCCUGCAAACCGUGGGUCAGAGGUCACGAGCCUGGACAGACGGGAGUGUCUGUGGCUCCGUCUGCUGUGGUGAGACACACUAACAGCUGAGAGGAACUCUGAAACAGACAGCACUGUUCAGCUGUGUGUGAUUCAGGGUCAGGCUUCAGGCUUUUAGACUCUGUUGUGCAUUUAAAAAGUUGCCUGACAACAUUCAGCGACUGUGUUUGUCGUGCGAACAGAUCCGGACGCGUUCAGCACGUCUGCAGCUCACAUUGACCUACGGCUAGUCCUAAAGUCAUCUCAACCUCAGCUUCACUUCAUCUCCAACAAGAUGAGAGUGUGACCAAAUGAAAUCACUGCGGUUACAGCAACAUAAAUGUUUCAGGCUACCUGACAGCUGCUUCCUGGAACAGAAGCAGGGAUCGUGCAUGCUGAUCCUUCACUGUUUACUCUUGGUGAAAUAUGUGGUCUGUCUGAGCCGGCAUGAGGGGAUCAGGUUUAACAUAAUUCCAAGACGAGCAGGACAGUUUAAGAAAACAGCAAACAUCAUCGCUGGAAAUGUUCUGUCAAAACAACAAAAGCAGGCUGAUCAGCGCCACCACGUUCCCAUCAAGGCCGAGGCUGCAGACGCCGCGCUGACCUGCUGUCAGCUUUGGUCUCAGAGCUGCAGAGCCGGCUUUCUUUGGGUUAGCUGCUUUAACAAAACCCAAAAGCCCAUUAACAUAAGUCUUUAUUGUCAUUGCACAGUCACACCCAGUACAACAAUGCAACAAAAUCAAACUGUCCCACGUCGGCGCUACGCACAACUAAACACAACUAAACUUAAAGUGGAUUUAUUUUAAAGUGCCAGAAAGGUAAGAGCAAAAAAAGAAUGACUUAAUAAAUAAAAGAAUGAGUGCAUGUUUAUUGUUAUUGCCCCCCAAAAAAGUCCAGGGAGGUAACCAAUCAGGUCAGCUGUGAGCAUUGAUUCGUUGUUCGUUCAGAUAAUCAGUUUGACAUAAGAAGAACCAGAAUGAUCGUUCUCUGUUAGCCAAACCCAUCAGAGCUUCAUGUCAGAGCAGAUCUGCAGAAAAUCAGUCACCUUUUUACUCUGUGCUGACAGAGAUUCUGCAGCUGCACAUCAGAGCUCUGAAGCAUCAGCUGUGACAUCACACACGUCUGACAUCACCGCGUGUUUGCCGAUAACAGAGACGGGAAUCACCGUGGAACCACAGAGUGAUCAGCUGCAACAUGGCAGCAGAUUAGGCUCAAAAUGAAAACCGAUUUUCUGCCUGCUGACCCCGGGUAACUUCCUGUGACCCCGGGUAACUUCCUGUGACUGCCACACUCAGUCGGAGCUGCUGGAACUUUCCUUCUCAGCUUCACUCGAUGCUGAUACGACUCGACAGCGUUCGUGCAGAAAACAUUCCUCUGGCUGAGAGCCGAGAUCACAAUGAGGGAAUCGGCACGAGUUACCAUGGUGAUGUGAAACACAUCCUGACGCGCCUCGAUAACCACACACGUCAGUCCAAACUUGACAGGUGAGGACAGAAACUGGGCCGAGCCACAGUUCAUCACUCUUCAUCGCUUCAAUCAGCAAACAUCUCUGAACGAGGACGACCUUUACUUUCAGCCACGAGGCUCGUUUGAGCGCAGCGUGCACGAUGACAGUAAAGCUGUGUCAGUCCUGUCCACACACGCUCAGUAAGACCUCGCCUGCUCAGCUGAGAGGUCAGCGAUGGAGGACGAACCCAGUGAUUUUAAAGCUGAAAGCAAAGCGUAAGCUUUAAGACGAGGCGGUCGAACUGAGGACGGCGAAUCACAUCAAACAUUAUUAACCUGCUUUACCUGAAAAUAAGGCUCACACUGCUCAUUAGUUAUAAAAGGGUUUUUAUGGUUUAUGUGGAUCAAAUUACAACAUUUAUUUUUAUUUAAUCAAGAAAAUAAAAUCAUUCUGACAGCAGCUGAACAGCGAGCGGCGUCACGGCUCUGAAAUCCACAGGAAGCUGCAGUCUGGAGCGUUUGGUGACACCACACAUUUCACCUGCAGCCUGCCAACAGCGCUCCUUUAUUCAUCCCGGUAAGAAUCGGUCUUCUCCUAGAGCGACAUGACCAAAGACCUUUGACUUUUUCUCAUCACAAUGAAAUCUGCAGCUCCAUCAUCACACUGCUUUCUUCCUUUUACA